GUAACUGCGAGUGAAGUGGCAAAAGCUCAAAUUUGAAAUCCGGUGCCUCUUGGUGCCUGAGUUGUAAUUUGGAGAGACAAAUUUGUUUGAUGGCGCCGGCCUAGGUUCCUUUGAACAGGACAACAUAGAGGGUGAGAAUCCCGUUCCUGGCCGGAUGUUCUGUCAUAUAUCUAAAUUGUCUUCGACGAGUCGAGUUGUUUGGGAAUGCAGCUCAAAAUGGGUGGUAAAUGUCAUCUAAAGCUAAAUAUUGGCGAGAGACCGAUAGCGCACAAGUAGAGUGAUCGAAAGAUGAAAAGCACUUUGAAAAGAGAGUCAAAAAGUACGUGAAAUUGCUGAAAGGGAAGCGCUUGAGACCAGACUCGAACCGUGGUGAUCAGCCGUGCUUCUGUGCGGUGUCACUUGCCACGGUUUGGGCCAGCAUCGGUUCUGGCGGUCGGAUAAAAGGUGGAGGAAUGUAGCUUCCUUCUGGGAGUGUUAAUUUAGCCACCACCACAAUGCGGCCAGCCGGGACCGAGGACCGCGCCUUCUUUGGCUAGGAUGCUGGCGUAAUGGUCUUAAGCGACCCGUCUUGAAACACGGACCAAGGAGUCUAACAUCUAUGCGAGUGUUCGGGUGGAAAAACCCUUGCGCGAAAUGAAAGUGAACGGAGGUGGGAACCCGCAAGGGUGCACCAUCGACCGAUCCUGAAGUCUUCGGAAGGAUUUGAGUAGGAGCACAGAUGUUGGGACCCGAAAGAUGGUGAACUAUGCCUGAAUAGGGUGAAGCCAGAGGAAACUCUGGUG
rnacentral:rRNA from 1 species